rnacentral:rRNA from 1 species
GUUAUCGAUAUGUGAAUACAUAGCAUAUCAGAAGGCACACCCGGAGAACUGAAACAUCUUAGUACCCGGAGGAAGAGAAAGAAAAUUCGAUUCCCUUAGUAGCGGCGAGCGAAACGGGAAGAGCCCAAACCAACAAGCUUGCUUGUUGGGGUUGUAGGACACUCUAUACGGAGUUACAAAGGACGACAUUAGACGAAUCAUCUGGAAAGAUGAAUCAAAGAAGGUAAUAAUCCUGUAGUCGAAAAUGUUGUCUCUCUUGAGUGGAUCCUGAGUACGACGGAGCACGUGAAAUUCCGUCGGAAUCUGGGAGGACCAUCUCCUAAGGCUAAAUACUCUCUAGUGA